UGUUGCUCUGGUGAUGCUGUGUAAGUCUGUCUCUGUGCCCUGUCUGUCAUGUUGCCUUAGCGCUCUCCUCCUUUCAUCUACCUCCAGGUGUGGAGUGAACAGUCACCCUGCUGACUCCGUCUGGGCUUCUCCUCAGGAUGUGACCCCUCUACCUGCGCUGGAGUCUCGGGGUCACCCUGGGAGGUCACCUGGUUGUUUGCUCUUCCCCAUUUUUAUGAAGCCAAAACAGAACAGUAGCCCCCCUACGGCACAUGAAGCCAGCACCUUUCUGGAGGCGAUUCCUCCCGUGCAGAAAUGACAUCAGUAAUUUACUCCAAACAGACACCAGAGCAGCUCAUGGUGUGGAAGGCUAAAUGACCCCCAUGACUCUCUAAAACCAGACGAUGGCAGCAGGAGCAGCUACCUCAGCAGAGGACGAGCUGGACACCAACCCCCCCCCCAGACAGGGUGGAUCCCCUACAGACAGAUGUGGCACAACAGUUGAUCUGAAGACAUCCAUGACAAAAAAUCCAGAAAGUCUUCACCCAGC